rnacentral:rRNA from 1 species
CAGCAGCCGCGGGAAUACGAGGGGGGCAAGCGUUGUUCGGAAUUAUUGGGCGUAAAGGGUGCGUAGGCGGUUUGAUAAGUCUUGUGUGAAACCUAUGGGCUCAACCCAUAGUCUGCACAGGAAACUGUCGGGCUUGAGAGUGGGAGAGGUGAGUGGAAUUUCCGGCGUAGCGGUGAAAUGCGUAGAUAUCGGGAGGAACACCUGUGGCGAAAGCGGCUCACUGGACCAUUUCUGACGCUGAUGCACGAAAGCUAGGGGAGCAAACAGGAUUAGAUACCCCCGUAGUCCCUGUCUCUUAUAC